UGGCCAGGUCGCAGUUGUAAAUGAGAGCUUGUACUAGCCUACCUGAUUAAAGAAAGAAUACUUCAAAAUGAGAAGAUCCUGCCAUGGAAGAGACGACUGGGUGGACAUAAAGUGGAAAGGAGGGGAAAUAACUCACACCAUGCAGCAGGACACCUUUAGCUGUGGGGUCUUUGUAAUGCAGAUGGCCAAGGAAGUUGCACAGAACUUCCCCAACAUCCCCUACCAUGGAGCAACUGCGAAAAGAAAUGGCUGAGGGUAUACUAAAAAUGUCUGAGUUCAACAAAGCCAACAACUGCUUCAUGUGUGCCACUGAUAAAGAACCUGGAUGUGGCCCAAAGACUGACUGGAUGUUGUAAUGUUUUGCAUGCCAACGGUGGUUCCAUGUGCUGUGCCUAGGAAUGAAGACAAAAGAGUUCAACAGAGUAAAGAACACAAACUGGAAGUGCUGUCUUUGUUGUUGAAAUGUAUGCUAUACCCCAUCCACACUGAAGAGGCUUUGAAAUGUACAUCAAACAGGGAUAAAGAGAAAGUUAACACUGCGAAAUGUUUCAUACUUAUUUGAAGUCUGUUGACAUGUUGGAAAAGAUUAAAGGUCUACCAUUUCUGUUUAA